UACGGGGGGGGCAAGCGUUGUUCGGAAUUACUGGGCGUAAAGGGCUCGUAGGUGGCCAACUAAGUCAGACGUGAAAUCCCCAGGCUCAACUUGGGAACUGCGUCUGAUACUGGAUGGCUUGAAUUCGGGAGAGGGAUGCAGAAUUCCAGGUGUAGCGGUGAAAUGCGUAGAUAUCUGGAGGAAUACCGGUGGCGAAGGCGGCAUCCUGGACCGACAUUGACGCUGAGGAGCGAAAGCUAGGGGAGCAAACGGG
rnacentral:rRNA from 1 species